GACGAACGCUGGCGGCGUGCUUAACACAUGCAAGUCGAACGGUAAGGCGCUUCGUGGUGAGUGGCAGACGGGGGCGUAACGCGUGGGAACGUGCCCUUCAGUUCGGGGUAACCCAGGGAAACUUAGGCUAAUACCGGAUACGUCCGAGUGCAGAAAGAUUUAUAGAGGAAGGAUCGGCCCGAGACUGAUUACAUAGUUGGUGGGGUAAUGGCCCACCAAGGCGACGAUCAGUAGCUGGUCUGAGAGGAUGAUUAGCCACAUGGGGGCUGAGACACGGCCCAAACUCCUACGGGAGGCAGCAGUGGGGGAUACUGGACAAUGGGCGCAAGCCUGAUCCAGCCAUGCCGCGUGAGUGAUGAAGGCCUUAGGGUUGUAAAGCUCUUUCGUCCGGGACGAUAAUGACGGUACCGGAAGAAGAAGCCCCGGCUAACUUCGUGCCAGCCGCCGCAGUAA
rnacentral:rRNA from 1 species